rnacentral:rRNA from 1 species
UACACUCCUACGGGAGGCAGCAGUGGGGAAUAUUGCACAAUGGGAGCAAGCCUGAUGCAGCCAUGCCGCGUGUAUGAAGAAGGCCUUCGGGUUGUAAAGUACUUUCAGCGGGGAGGAAGGCGAUAAGGUUAAUAACCUUGUUGAUUGACGUUACCCGCAGAAGAAGCACCGGCUAACUCCGUGCCAGCAGCCGCGGUAAUACGGAGGGUGCAAGCGUUAAUCGGAAUUACUGGGCGUAAAGCGCACGCAGGCGGUCUGUCAAGUCGGAUGUGAAAUCCCCGGGCUCAACCUGGGAACUGCAUUCGAAACUGGCAGGCUAGAGUCUUGUAGAGGGGGGUAGAAUUCCAGGUGUAGCGGUGAAAUGCGUAGAGAUCUGGAGGAAUACCGGUGGCGAAGGCGGCCCCCUGGACAAAGACUGACGCUCAGGUGCGAAAGCGUGGGGAGCAAACAGGAUUAGAAACCCCUGUAGUCCC